rnacentral:misc_RNA from 1 species
AAGUCGUAACAAGGUUUCCGUAGGUGAACCUGCGGAAGGAUCAUUAAUAAAAUGAUGUUUUUUGGGGUUUUUAAUCUCGAAAAAUAAUUCACCUUUUGUGCACUGUUAUAAGAUAUACUUUGGUUAGAGCUUUGAUUUCAUUUAAUGGAAUCAACUUCUUGCUGACUCUAUCCCAUUAUAUGGGACAGUUGGCUAUGAAGCGGCCUACCAAGGUUUUUUAUCAAACACUUGUAUUUUGUCUGACCUAAACUAUUAUAAUAAAAUCAUAACUUUCAACAACGGAUCUCUUGGCUCUC